AUUCUAAUCAAGUACUGGAAUUACGCAG
rnacentral:piRNA from 1 species